rnacentral:rRNA from 1 species
AUUGAACGCUGGCGGCAGGCCUAACACAUGCAAGUCGAACGAGUGGCGGACGGGUGAGUAAUGUCUGGGAAACUACCUGAUGGAGGGGGAUAACUACUGGAAACGGUAGCUAAUACCGCAUACCAUCAGAUGUGCCCAGAUGGGAUUAGCUUGUUGGUGGGGUAACGGGUCACCAAGGCGACGAUCCCUAGCUGGUCUGAGAGGAUGACCAGCCAGACUGAAACUGCGAAACAGUCCAGACUCCUACGGAAGGCAGCAGUGGGGAAGAUUGCAAAAUGGGCGCAAGCCGGAUGCAGCCAUGACGCGUGUAUGAAGAAGUCCUUCGGGUUAUAAAGCACUUUCAGCGGGGAGGCGUAACCCGCAGAAGAAGCACCGGCUAACUCCGUGCCAGCAGCCGCGGUAAUAC